CUCCGUGUCUUAUUCCUUUGAUGAGUCCUAUCUAGAGGAUAGUCAGGGCUACAGUGUGUGUGUGAAUACGAGUGGCCUUGUGUGUCUCUCUCUGUGUUUAC